rnacentral:rRNA from 1 species
CCUACGGGAGGCAGCAGUGGGGGAUAUUGGACAAUGGGGGAAACCCUGAUCCAGCGAUGCCGCGUGAGGGAAGAAGGUUUUCGGAUUGUAAACCUCUGUGGAGGGGGACGAUAAAGACGGUACCUGACUAAGAAGCCCCGGCUAACUACGUGCCAGCAGCCGCGGUAAUACGUAGGGGGCAAGCGUUAUCCGGAUUUACUGGGUGUAAAGGGAGCGUAGACGGCGCGGCAAGUCUGAAGUGAAAGGCAGGGGCUUAACCCCUGAACUGCUUUGGAAACUGCCAUGCUAGAGUGCUGGAGAGGUAAGUGGAAUUCCUAGUGUAGCGGUGAAAUGCGUAGAUAUUAGGAGGAACACCAGUGGCGAAGGCGGCUUACUGGACAGUAACUGACGUUGAGGCUCGAAAGCGUGGGGAGCAAACAGGAUUAGAUACCCGAGUAGUC